rnacentral:lncRNA from 1 species
AAAAAUAAUAAUAAAAAAGAUUUUUUUGCCCUUUGUCCCUCUCCCUUUCCCCUCCCUCUCUUUCCUCCCCUCUCCCCUUUCCUUCCCCCUUCCUCUCCUCUAUGCCGAUAGCACUCUCUUCCUCCCUCCCUGCCUGCGUUGAACGGAGGGUUGCCGCCCAUCCAGCCCCUCUCCCUUCCUCCUACUGUCGCGCCGCCCUUCCCCUUCUUCUUCCCUUUCGCAGCGACGUCGACCAAAGAAAGGAGCUGCCAUCGCCGUUUCGGCCGCCUGCCAAUGUCCAAUCAGCCGUCUAACGCCAAAUUCGGGUCCCUCACCAUCGAAAACAAGACUCCCCCGUUCUUUUCCAUCGCCGGCAGCCUCAGAGGAGCUUCGCCGGAGCCGAGACUUUUCAGCCCCGAUUUGGUGCCUUCCGUUGAGUUUAUGGCUGAAACUCUUGUGUUUUCGGACUCCCCGAAACUCAAGCUUCGCAUAGGCACUUUCGGAUUCAAAUUCCGACACCAUUGGCAGUACUAGCUUCCGGACCCCGGCGUUUUCCGGACACGCGAAAUUUUAAAUUUCGGCUCGAUAUAAUUUUAUUUGGACGUCAAAAGUUAUGUUUUAAUUUUAAAAAAAUAUUGUUGCUAUUAAUUAUCAAUUAUAGAUAAUUUAAAUUUAAUUAGAUUUAGUUAAUUGUGAUUUGUGGUGUGUUGGGGAGUUGGAAAAAAUAAUGUAGUUUUGUGGCCCGACUCCCGUUAGUUAAUCCCAGAAUAUUUGAAGUGUUUCUAGCAGGUUCUUAACCCAUUGUACGGGGGGAAAUAUUCAUAAUGUAGAGGAGGUUCUGCCAAAUUUUCGAUAGAAUUCUCAAAUCUGAAAUAUUUUUUUAGGCAGUCUAAUCUAUGGGUCUAGGCUUAGAGAAAUUUAAAAAUAUCUAUUAAUCGAGUGUUUUCGUGAAUAGAUAAUCUAUCCAUCCCGCCAGCUCCACCCGAGGCGUAGGAGCGGACUGUGGAGCGCAACAGAACUGUGAGUUAAAGUCAUAUAAUCACUGUACCAUUGGCAUGUCUAAAUUUAAUGCGAUGUUUAAUGAUUAAUAUUUAAUAAGGUUAUUAUUAUCGUAAUUAUAAGUAAUUUUGUUUAAUUGAUAAUUAUCAUGAAUAGUACUAGUAUUAUUAUCAGUAAAUUUAUGUCAUUAUUUUGAAUAUUUUUAAUUAAUGUUAUUUUAAUAUUAGUAUUAUUAUCACUGCUUAUAAUUGCAUGUUUGCUAAUUCUGAGAUUUCUAAAUUUUUAAUUCUCAGUAUGUUAUUGAUUAAUUUAUGUUGGCCUGUGAUUAUUUUAUUUAUGAUUUUUAUAAAUGUUGUGAUUGUGACAUUAGGAUGAGGUGACAGUAGAACAUGUCACAUGAUGGGUUACAUUAGGAUUGCGUGCGCACCGAUAAUAAUGAGAGGCAGAUAACAAAGGUUAUUUUUGGAUUUUGCCCUGGUCGAGUAUAACUCUCAAGGCUGUGAAAGCUUGACUGCUGGAGAAAGGUCCCUAAUCGAGCAAUGCUCUUUGGCGCCAGCUUAAUUGGGAAUCAAGUUUUUAGGCUAGAUGUAAGGACCCUGGUUGAGCUUCACUCUCUAGGCGCCAUACCUAUUAGAAUAAGAGAGUCGAAAGACUACUAGCAUUUUGGGUUGGGGUUCUGCUAAGCCACUCGUCCCAUAAGUCUUUAAAUGUACUUUCUUUCUAAAUUAUGGCAUGACUCGUACUUUAAUACAAAAUGACAUGAUAUAUUGAUUUAGUGAAUAUUAUAUUGAGGAGACUGCAAUAGUUACAAGGUUAUAUGAUUUUAACUCAUUCUCGAGGCUGACAGUCUCAAGUUCUUUUUUCAAGUGACAGUUAGAGUUCUUUGAUGUCUUGCAUUUUGAUAGCCCGACUUUCUUCUUAAUCGGACCUAUUGUAACGAAUUUAUACUUUUGUAUUUGAAUAACUUAAAAACUCUAGACUUUCUGCAGUAGUAUCUUUGAUAUGUUAUGUUUAACCUGGUCUAUAACAAAAUGUGAAAUGUUAUCAAUGACCAGUUAGAGAUUUGUAUAUGGCAUGUCAGACAUGAUUAAUAUUAUAUUUUCAUAUGUACUUUAUUGAAUAUCAAUUAGUAAGGCUUACUACGGGACUUGAUGGCCUUAAGGCUACCCAUUCCUAGUGCCAAUCACGGGCCCACAGAUCGGGCGUAACAAAGUUGGUAUCAAAGCCUAGGUUUAGUUUUCCUUUGACCUAGGUAGCUUUCUUAACUACUGCGAAGUUAGGAAUCCAGUCUUCCCGUCCCAGAUCAUAUUCCGGUACAUCCACAGAAGAGGAAAUCGCAAUGCAUUUUGCUCAGCAGGAGUAGCUUAGAGUGAGAGUGUAGCGUGGGUAAGGUAAGGAAAGUGGCUGCCAGAGAGGAAGCCAAACCGGCCGCAGCUAAUAUGCGCCAGAGAAAGCCAGGUGCCGGAAGUAAGCUCUAUUUAGCCCGGAGGAUUGAUUCCCCAUAACGAAUAGGCUACCUCUAUCUCUCAAUAGUUUAACAGCUUGCGUGAACAAAAAUGGGGCAUACCUGAGCAUUUUAAGAUUUUCUCUUAGCAUUGGUAGAAAUGAAUUGGGCAUUUGCUUCAAUCAUAGAGAGGUCAAGGAUAUCUUCUCUCCAAAAGACCAAGAAAUUGGCAAGGGAUUCAUCCGAGAUGUUCGACAUUCAUCCAUCCAUACGCAAUUUCUGCUUCCAUUUUGAUACAUAGUUGGACCUUCUAACCAUUGGUUUUAGCAUGACAACCAAAGACUAAAACUCGGUCCGAGCAAGAUCAUCGAGAUGUUUACACGUGGGGUCAUUGCUGAUGCCCCUUAUAUUCCAAACAAUUGCAAUUUUGGAAAUUUUUGAAAUAGAGUGGGGUAGGGCUUAGCCUCAAGUUUGGAUUGUGCCCUAGUAGUCGCGCUUUUAUCUUACCCAAGUGCUGCCAUUUGUUUGCCUUGUUCGAAGGCUCCGGUUUCAAAUCUUUAUCAAAGAUAGAUGAUUGUGGGUCCUGAGAGGAGCUAUUGGAUUCUUCAUCAUGAUUAUUGGAAUGAAGAGGCUUUGAGGACCUUCCUUCUAAGGAGAAAGCGCAAACUUGUCUUUGUACGACAACCACUAAAAAAGAGGGUUAACCUUUGGUUCAUUAGAUUCCAGGCCGGAUGGAUCUAGUGCAUGAUCCGUAGAAGGUCUUGAUUAUCAAAAUUUUUUUUGCCAACUAGUUCCUCUUUCUGCUAUCCCCGUGAGGAGAGCUACCGCUGGUAUUGAAGCUGCGUUAACCGAAGGUGAUUUUCCAAUAGCUAAAUACUCCAAUUUUUUAAGAACAAGAGCUUGGGGAUUGUUAUCUGGUUCAAGCUCUUCGCCCUGAGGACCAUCUUUAAUGAAUUGAGACUCCCACACACGAAUCUUAUUCAACUACUAGCUCCGCCCUUGGAUAGAAUGAUGAGAGUUAUCCCAAUACAGAUAUCCCAUAUCUGCUCUCAUUCAGCAAGCUCUCUAACACUAGUUAGCGCUAACCUCUUUACAGUAAACAAGUGAAUAGACUUGCCUUCUCAGAUGCCCGUAAUCGUCUUGGUGUGGAGAUUCGUCUUGGAUUCUGCUUGAACUAAUAGACAUAUGGAAUAUUGAAGAAACUUUAUUAACUCUCCUUCGGGUUAAGUCUAAGGCACCUCUUCCCAAUUCCAAAGGAAAGAUUUUACAGUAGAGGAAGUCUUUUGGAAGUCAAGUUUGCUCCAUCUGAUAUUACCACUCCAUGGGCUUAAAUAGCUCUCUAUUAGUCAGUUAAACUAGAAAGAGUUUGCUUUCUUGCUGUGUUGUUCAGGACCGGGAAGACGAUUGGAUGCGAUAAAGAGGUGGGAGGGCUAUAUGUGCUUGAUGUGGCUUCCUCACUGAUGUGCGUAGAAUACAUACAUCUAAAUGGGAUUUUUAAGGCUGAUUUUAUGUACAUUUGGAUGUGAAUUGGUCCUAACACUCACCCUAUGUGUCUGUUUGUGUGUAUUAGGUCUAAAAGAAGCCAAAGAGUGAUAAAGGGAAGAAUUAGAGCAGAAUUGGACGUCAAAGUUGCCGAAACAAGUCGAGUUUACGCAUAAGGAAGCUGAACACGGCCGUGUUGGUUUUAACACUGGCCGUGUUCCCAACACGGGCACCAAAAUGGCCGUGUUGGGUGUAUUUGAUAACAGAAAAAAAGAUGUGUUAAGGAGCACGACCAUAGAGAGCAACAUGGGCAUCAAUACCAGGCCGUGUUCCCAACAGGGGCAUCAACACCAGGCUGUGUUCCCAACACAGGCCUCAAUAUAGCCAUGUUCUCGGCAGCUGGACGAAUUAAUUAAAAGAAAGAAAAGAGGGAAACAAAAAAAGUAGGGUUAGGAUGUCCCAAACUCAUUUUUUUCUCUCUCUAAGGGUUUUUUUGAGCUGGAACUAAGGAAAAAGGAGACUUGGACCAUGGUUUCAAUUGGAUUCUCUUCGAAGAUUGAAGAUUGGGCGAGGUUCGUUGAUUGGUUUCAAUUCGAGCAAGAGGAACAAGAAUCGAUUCAAGAUUGGGCAAGAGGAAUUAGAGCUGUUUACUCUCAUCUAAGGGUGUAUUCGGGUUUCUCUACCCUUUACUCAUUUGUUGUAAUUGAAUUCUUAUGGGUUUUGAUAAUGAACAUGAUUAGCUAAACUUGUUAACCCAUUGGGGUUCUUUAUCUAGGGAUUUUUGUACUUAACUUUUGAAUUGAAUGUAUUGAUUUUCAUUAUUGGUUUAUAAUGGAAGUGCUUAUUGAUUUGUUCUUCAAGAAUGAUUAUUGAAAUUUGAAUGUUCUUGAGAAAGACGUUUAGGUUUGGAUUGUCCUUUGCAACCUAGGAUUGAGUUCGCCUAGAGAUAGGGUGUUCGUUCUACCGGAUUGAGAAUUAACAACUCUCAAUAGUGUUAAAUGGUACAUAAUGCUAAUUUGGAUAAUUAGAGUUAGAAAGAGACUUCAACCUAAUUAAUCUAAGUUAAGAUGUUAGUGUCCUUGAGAAAGGUGUUAAUUGCAUAGAGAUUUUUCCACGGAAAUUGAAUUCAAGCAAUUAAUUCCAUCUUUAGUUUCCAUUCCCUAGAGACAAGAAUUCCCAAGGAGUUAUUCCUUAACUUGAAUUAAUCCUACCCUAGUAGCCGUAGUUAGAUAACAACUAGAGUAGCUAUUAGUUAAUUUAGGAAUUAUUCAUCAUUCAUUUUAGGCUAAUAUAAUAGAGAACAAAGGAGUAACUCUGGGCUUUCACUUUUCCGAGGAAUACGACCUUGAUACUUGCCAUUAGUGCUAGACUGCAUCGAUAGGUACACUGCCUUAGAUUGUAGCUGCAUAGAUAGCAAUUAUCAAGUUUUUGGUGCCGUUGCCGGGGAAUGUUUGAAAACUAGAGUGAAAUUUGCUAUUUGUUAAUUUAUCCAUUUUUUUAUUUAUUUCUGUUUUGUUUGUACAUAAUUAUUUAGUUGAGGUUAUGAUUCAGGUAGUGGAUGAUAAGGGGGUUCAAUGCUAAACUCUUUGUAUGACACGUUGGAAAAUGGGAUCAGGAACCAAGAGAGUCCUAAAAAUUGGGAUACCCGUGCAUCUUUAGAAGCUCGAGUGGAAUCGUUUUGCAGGGCUACCAAUCAACUCUUCCCUCCUAUACUUUCAUCUCAAGUUUUUUGUGAAUUUUUUUGUGAUUUACAUUUGAGUAAUGAUUGUCCAUUGUGCAGUGAUUUUACUCAUUGUUCUUAUAACUGUGAACAGGUGAAUUAUACGGGAAGUUGGCCAAAUGACUCGUAUGGGAGCAGCUACAAUCAAGAGUGGAGCACUCAUUCACCCUUUGGAUGGAGCUUAGAUGGCCAAGAACCACCAGGAUCUCAGCAACCACAUCAGCAGCCUAAUCUUGCACCUUCAACUCAAGAUGAAAAGUUAGUGUUAGAGGAGCUGAUAUGAGGUUCUUUACAAGUCUUGAGGAUAGAUUCCAACAAACAAAGAGGGUACUCGAAGGUCAACAAGCCUCGAUUGAGAACAUAGAGCAUCAAGUAGGCUUGAUCUUCAAGUUACUAGCUGAAGAGCAAUUGGGAACUCCAUCAAACGCUACUGAAUCCGAGGUACAUUUGAGUGCCGUCACUUUGCAUUCAAGUGAGAAUUUAUCUGGUUUAUCUAUUAUGUUUGAUGAUGAUGCUUAUGUGUAAGACGAUUCCUUGAACAUGGAGAUAGAACUAGAAAAGGAAGAGGCAAACAUGAUUCCUCUGAAAGACUACCAACAGGAACGUACAGUUGGUGAUGUUGAGUUGCAGUUAGAGGAAUUUUUGGUGGAUUUUCCACAAGUCCAUUCGAUGAUGGAAGAUGAGCAUGAGUUAUCCAAUGAAGAAGUCUUGGAGGAGCUCGACUUUCUUCUAGCAAGUGAACCAAGCCAAGGACUAGAGAAAUCUAUCGACAUUCCUGAAGAAAUUGCCCAACCGUCGAUCCUUCCAAUUGGUGAAACUCCAGCUUUCAAAUUGGAAGAGCCCCUAGAGCAUCAUGACUACGUGCAAAUAUAUGAGGAGCGAGUUUUGCCCAUCAUACUGGCAGCUUGCUUGACCAUCGGGAAGAGGAAUUUGACGAUUAGUCCCCUAAGCGGAUACUUGAAGCCAUUUGCUUGGAACAAGGAUGGAUGGUCAUCAAUCCCCACUGUUUGCUUUUCACCAUGAGUCCAGCUAAGAAGACUCAUCACAUCAAAAAGAAGUAUUUUUGGGAGGCAUCCCAAUUUUUUAUCUUUAAUUUCUAAUAUUAUAACCUUGUGUUUUGAAUUAUUUUAUUAGUUUUAGUUUUCAUAUUUUAUUUAAUUUUUGUUUCAAUUUCGAUUUUAAUUCUUUAUUUUAUUAUUUGUAGCUUCUACCGAGGACGCACUGAAUUUCCACUACACCAACCUCGGCGGACGAUUAAAGCAGUCCCUUAGAUUUUCUUUUUAUUUUUUGCAUUUAUUUACUUUAUUUCUUAUGUACAUGUCAUGCAUUUGGAUUGCAUUGCCUUUGUUUCUCUUUGAUGAGCAUUACCAUGCGGGGUAUCCAUAACAUGUUACACUGAGGACAGUGUGUCCUUCAAGUGUGGGGUGGGUGAUAUUUAUAUACACUUGUUUUUUUGUAUUUUGUUUAUCUUUUAGCUUUAUUUAUCUUGUGUGUUUUUUAUUUUGUUUUUAUUAUUCUUGUAUAUAAAAUUUUGAUCCUUUU